AGUCGCUGGGUGUAGACCCGAAACCAAGUGAUCUACCCAUGGCCAGGUUGAAGGUGCGGUAACACGCACUGGAGGACCGAACCCACUAAUGUUGAAAAAUUAGGGGAUGAGCUGUGGGUAGGGGUGAAAGGCUAAACAAACUUGGAAAUAGCUGGUUCUCUCCGAAAACUAUUUAGGUAGUGCCUCAAGUAUCACCACCGGGGGUAGAGCACUGUUAUGGCUAGGGGGUCAUCGCGACUUACCAAACCAUUGCAAACUCCGAAUACCGGUGAGUGCGAGCUUGGGAGACAGACAUCGGGUGCUAACGUCCGGUGUCAAGAGGGAAACAACCCAGACCGCCAGCUAAGGUCCCAAAGAUUGGCUAAGUGGAAAACGAAGUGGGAAGGCUAAAACAGUCAGGAUGUUGGCUUAGAAGCAGCCAUCAUUUAAAGAAAGCGUAAUAGCUCACUGAUCGAGUCGUCCUGCGCGGAAGAUGUAACGGGGCUAAGCCAGUCACCGAAGCUGCGGAUAUGCGUAAGCAUAUGGUAGGAGAGCGUUCUGUAAGCCUGCGAAGGUGGCUUGUAAAGGCUGCUGGAGGUAUCAGAAGUGCGAAUGCUGACAUGAGUAGCGAUAAUGGGGGUGAAAAGCCUCCACGCCGUAAGCCCAAGGUUUCCUGUUCAACGUUCAUCGGAGCAGGGUGAGUCGGCCCCUAAGGCGAGGCAGAGAUGCGUAGCUGAUGGGAAGCAGGUUAAUAUUCCUGCACCGUCGUAUGAUGCGAUGGGGGGACGGAUCGCGGAAGGUUGUCUGACUGUUGGAAUAGUCAGUUUCUGGUUCAUAGAAGG
rnacentral:rRNA from 1 species